UGUUAAAAGUUUAAUCCAUUUUUAUUAUUAAAAACUAGCGUGAUUAAUGAAAUAAUUAAACAGUUGCAUGUAACGUGCUACAUGUACCUUAUGCUAACGUACAAUGAUCAAUUUUUAAUAGUAAAAAUGAAUGAGAUUUUUAAUA
rfam:Gossypium hirsutum cultivar TM-1 unplaced genomic scaffold scaffold26.1, whole genome shotgun sequence